rfam:TPA: Bos taurus chromosome 6, whole genome shotgun sequence.
CCUGGUGGCUCAGACAGUAAAGAAUCUGCCUGCAAUGCAGGAGACCCAGGUUCAAUCCCUGGGUCAGGA